rnacentral:rRNA from 1 species
CGCCUUGCCAGCCCGCUCAGAAACUUAAAGGAAGUGACGGGGCCCGCACAAGCGGUGGAGCAUGUGGUUCAAUUCGAUGCAACGCGAAGAACCUUACCUGGGUUUGAAGAGGGGCAGACAGGGGAUGAAAGUCCUCCUCUCCGCAAGGAGCUGUCACUUAGGUGCUGCAUGGCUGUCGUCAGCCCGUGUCGUGAGAUGUUGGGUUAAGUCCCGCAACGAGCGCAACCCUUGUCCUCAGUUACCACCGUUCAGUCGGGGACUCUGAGGAGACCGCCGGUGACAAACCGGAGGAAGGUGGGGAUGACGUCAAGUCCUCAUGGCCUUUAUGUCCAAGGCUACACACGUGCUACAAUGGCCGGUACAAACCGUUGCCACCUCGCGAGAGGGAGCCAAUCGGAAAAAGCCGGUCUCAGUUCGGAUUGAAGGCUGCAACUCGCCUUCAUGAAGCUGGAAUCGCUAGUAAUCGCGGAUCAGCAUGCCGCGGUGAAUACGUUCCCGGGCCUU